rnacentral:tRNA from 1 species
AAGGGAGACCCAAUUCCGGUAGGAGACGAAAAAAAAGUAGUCCCAACCAAGAAUCAAUCCCAAAAGGUCGGAACGAGGUAUGAGGCUUCAAACUAGGUUCUGGGUUCAUAAAAGACCUGAAUCAGGAACAAGGGCUAUUAGCUCAGGUGGUUAGAGCGCACCCCUGAUAAGGGUGAGGUCCCUGGUUCGAGUCCAGGAUGGCCCACCUGCACAGGUGGCAAAAACAAGAGAAGCUCCGAAUCAGCACCUUAUCUUAUAUACAUAUAUAAGAGAGAAUGCUGGCUCUGAGUACAGAGUCCAGAGGAACCUUGAAAACUGCAUAGAGCUAGGUGAAAAAGCCAAAAAAGAAGACCGCAA